UACGUAGGGGGCAAGCGUUGUCCGGAUUUAUUGGGCGUAAAGAGCGUGUAGGCGGCCUGAAAGGUCAGCUGUGAAAACUCGAGGCUUAACCUCGAGACGUCGGUUGAAACCAUCUGGCUAGAGUCCGGAAGAGGAGUGUGGAAUUCCCGGUGUAGCGGUGAAAUGCGCAGAUAUCGGGAAGAACACCUAUGGCGAAGGCAGCUCUCUGGGACGGUACUGACGCUGAGACGCGAAAGCGUGGGGAGCGAACAGG
rnacentral:rRNA from 1 species